UACGUAGGGGGCGAGCGUUGUCCGGAAUCAUUGGGCGUAAAGCGCGUGUAGGCGGCUUGGUAAGUCUGCUGUGAAAGUCCAGGGCUCAACCCUGGAAAGCCGGUGGAAACUGUCAAGCUGGAGUCCGGAAGAGGCGAGUGGAAUUCCUGCUGUAGCGGUGAAAGGCGCAGAUAUCAGGAGGAACACCAAUGGCGAAGGCAGCUCGCUGGGACGGUACUGACGCUGAGACGCGAAAGCGUGCGGAGCAAACAGG
rnacentral:misc_RNA from 1 species